rnacentral:rRNA from 1 species
UACGUAGGGGGCAAGCGUUAUCCGGAUUUACUGGGUGUAAAGGGAGCGUAGGCGGCUUAGUAAGUCAGAAGUGAAAGCCCGCAGCUCAACUGCGGGACUGCUUUUGAAACUGCCAGGCUAGAGUGUCGGAGAGGUAAGUGGAAUUCCUAGUGUAGCGGUGAAAUGCGUAGAGAUCGGGAGGAACACCAGUGGCGAAGGCGGCCUGCUGGGCUCUAACUGACGCUGAGGCACGAAAGCGUGGGUAGCAAACAGG